AACGAACGCUGGCGGCAUGCCUAACACAUGCAAGUCGAACGAGAUCUUCGGGUCUAGUGGCGCACGGGUGCGUAACGCGUGGGAAUCUGCCCUUUGGUUCGGAAUAACAGUUGGAAACGACUGCUAAUACCGGAUGAUGACGUAAGUCCAAAGAUUUAUCGCCAGAGGAUGAGCCCGCGUAGGAUUAGCUAGUUGGUGUGGUAAGAGCGCACCAAGGCGACGAUCCUUAGCUGGUCUGAGAGGAUGAUCAGCCACACUGGGACUGAGACACGGCCCAGACUCCUACGGGAGGCAGCAGUGGGGAAUAUUGGACAAUGGGCGAAAGCCUGAUCCAGCAAUGCCGCGUGAGUGAUGAAGGCCUUAGGGUUGUAAAGCUCUUUUA
rnacentral:rRNA from 1 species